rnacentral:rRNA from 1 species
GGGUCAGUAGGUUGGUCGUGCCACCGGUACGUACUGGUCUCACUGAUUCCUCCUUCCUGAAGAACCGUAAUGCCAUUAAUUUGGUGUUGCGGGGAAACAGGACUGUUACUUUGAAAAAAUUAGAGUGUUUAAAGCAAGCUAACGCUUGAAUACAUUAGCAUGGAAUAAUGAAAUAGGACGAUCGAUCCUAUUUUGUUGGUUUCUAGGAUUGACGUAAUGAUUAAUAGGGAUAUGGG